UACGUGGGGGGCAAGCGUUGUUCGGAAUUACUGGGCGUAAAGGGCUCGUAGGCGGCCAACUAAGUCGGAUGUGAAAUCCCUCGGCUUAACCGGGGAACUGCGUCUGAUACUGGAUGGCUUGAGUUUGGGAGAGGGAUGCGGAAUUCCAGGUGUAGCGGUGAAAUGCGUAGAUAUCUGGAGGAACACCGGUGGCGAAGGCGGCAUCCUGGACCAACACUGACGCUGAGUGAGCGAAAGCCAGGGGAGCAAACGGG
rnacentral:rRNA from 1 species